AACGAACGCUGGCGGCAUGCCUAACACAUGCAAGUCGAACGAGACCUUCGGGUCUGGUGGCGCACGGGUGCGUAACGCGUGGGAACCUGCCCUUAGGUUCGGAAUAACUCCCCGAAAGGGGUGCUAAUACCGGAUAAUUUCUUCUGACCAAAGAUUUAUCGAGUUUGGAUGGGCCCGCGUUGGUUUAGCUUGUUGGUAGGGUAAAAGCCUACCAAGGCGACGAUCCAUAGCUGGUCUGAGAGGAUGAGCAGCCACACUGGGACUGGGACACGGCCCAGACUACUACGGGAGGCAGCAGUGGGGAAUAUUGGAAAAUGGGCGAAAGCAUGAUCCAGCAAGGCCGCGUGAGUGAUGAAGGCCUUAGGGUUGUAAAGCUGUUUUACCCGGGAUGAUAAUGACGGUACCGGGAGAAUAAGCUCCGGCUAACUCCGUG
rnacentral:rRNA from 1 species